UUAUGUUUAUUUUUGUUUAUAACGUCUUUCUUUUUUUGUAAAUGGGGUGAUAGCAUUUUUAUUGUACUUGUACACGCAGUGAAUAGCGUACUGCGAUCAUGAGUAAACGUGGAGGUAUUGUAUUUGUAAUCGGCUCCUAUGCACUUUUGUUAUGUUGGUGCGCUUGUACAAUGUCGAUUUUAUAUUCCUGGCCGAUAUCGUGUUACUGAAAUUUCUAUGUCCGUGAUUAAUGCGCCACGCGAGCGCACUAGCUAGGCGUGGGAGGUUCGUGUCUAUUUCGAUAAAAUUUACAGGUGCGUAUAUGCAUACGCGAGGGUAAAUUAGGUGAUAACGAUAAAAAUUAGUAGAUUUAUCUAGGGACAAAUUUGAAAAUUAUAUAAUAACACAGAAGGAUAUAGUUCACUUGAACGCUAGAAUGUUUCUAUUUUUUAUCAAACAAUUUUUAUUUAAAAAUGUGGUAAAACCGAAAAUUAUAAAUCAUCGACACGUGAAACACCUGCUGGACGUAUUUAAUUUUUUGUAAAAAAACAUAUUUCUGCCUGUGUAAUCAGUGACAGGAAGAAUCGAAGAAUCAACGACCGCAGGGACAGUGCAGAAUCAAAGGGAUGAAACGAUAAGCGUUCUAAGACCGAAAAACAACGUUUUGAACGUAGCACGACGAGCCAUGGUCGUCGUCAAUCUGUCCAGGACUUAGUGUUCCAGUAGACGAGGUGGUGAUCGCCCGCAGGUGACUUCCUGCUGGUCGUCGCGACGGCUGCGUCUCCGAGGUUGGCGGAGGUUAUGAGAGAAAGAGAAGAGUCAGCACAGGCGAGAGAGAGAGAGGGCGUCGCGCGCAGGAGAGAAUCGGAUGUCAGCGAGAGAGAAACUGGAACGAGGAACAUGGCGGUGGGGUUAGGUAGGAAGGGGGAUACGAUCAAUAGGGGUAGGUUUUAGCAUGCGCUACUUCAGAAGCCAGACAUGACUCCUUUGUACGAGGACAAGCUAUGAGGAUGUGCCUCUAACAGCUACCCUGGACUACGAAUAGCACGUUUCACCCCGUUGUAACAUACGCCAACGCGUUAAAUUUUCAACAGAUUUCAUUCACAGACCUCCAUUUCAAACCUUAGCCUUACCUUAGGUAUAUUAGCUUUGUAUGUACGUACCUGGAACAUAUUUACUUUUAAAAUUGUGAGUAAUGCGGUACGACGAAGUGACAAAGUUUAUGCGGUCAUUUAUUCUUUAAUUCGUGGUAGCGCAUGACGUAUCUUUUUGGCAGAGUUCAUUUUGCAAUAAGGGGAUUUGGGAUUUACGAGGUAUAGUAAAACGUGACCGGUUUUACUUUCUCAUAAUGGUGCCCUUUAUAGUGGUCUGCUCAUAAGUUUUACAUUAUUUAUGCUCUUAUUUAAUUUAAGUGUAUUUUUAUAUUUAGUUGAUGACGAUGUUCAGAUUAAUCUGUAUAGUUGAGGGGUUUCUAGAUUUAGGUUUUUGUUAUCCUUAUAGUUAAUCCUCGUGUAUCUUUUAGUUCAAGGUUUAAUACACGUCAGUUCGUGCGUGGGUGACGUGGAUGCGUUCCACAUAAGGCACGCAGUAUUUCAGGCGGGAGACCUUUCGUGAUGUCAAAAGGUCAGGUGUCUCUUAACAGCAGACGCAGUGUACUUUCCGAUUGGAUAUGGUACUGGUCUAUUAAGAGGGUUGAGGAAUAGCUAAUAGUUCUAUUUGGAGGAAAAAAUAAAUAGUCGGCUCAGGAAUGCAUAUUUUUGUAAUUUAUUUUUUUUUUGUAGUUUGCAUACAUCACAUUAUAGAAAGAUUCAGUCAAUAAUCAAGAGAUGUUCAGGACAGGUAACAGUUGAAUUAAAUGUUUUUAUGUUUUUAAUGUUAUUUAAACAUUUGCUUUGUUUUAGCACCGUAUCGCGUUGGUUCAACUUCCAACAGGACGUCAUCCUUUGCAUCUGAUUAGAAGUCUUUUUCGCAGACGCUAUAAUGUCUGCAUGACACUCACGUCAUCUAUGGUAAUGUUAAGUAUACGUUAAUUCGAUUGUAAUUGUACUUUGUAAUAAGCAUGCGUAAUAUGUGUAGACGUUAAUAAAGUGGAAUGUGUGAA